AGGAAAAGAUGAAGGAAAAGCUGACAAAUCGGACCAGGUUCGUCUCGGUCGUUGCGAUCUGAUCGAGCAGGUCAUGUACCGUCGUAAUCCGUGGGGCAACCCAGCAGAUCAUCGAUUAAGCGGAUCGUUCGCUGCACGACGCCCUUUGCGUGCUGGCCGCGGAAACGUCCGGUAAGGAAUCGAUGGCCAUAGAAGCAUUCGGUCGCGUUCUGCUCUAGCUGCCGACGACAAUCGCCGACAACGAGUAGUACCGUUUGUAACGCUUAGCUAAACGAAGAGUGCACGUGUCGAAUCGAAGGACGCUGCAGCGAUGGCAGGACCUGGACAUCCUGGACAGCCGGAGCUUGAGCUUGCAGAAGUGAUCAUCAGCCAAGUCAUCAGUGCAAUUAACCUUCACCGGCUACAUGGUCUCCAGUUGUGCGUGUAAUUUAGACUUUUAUCCCGACAUGAGCAACCUCGUGCCAGCGAUGGUGACGGCAAAGUCUGCAUAUUUUUCACGGCGCGUACGAGCAGCUUAGUGCCUACAUUAACAGUAAUGCCGUGCGCAGAGUUUCGAGUUUCUCCUGCUCCUCGCGGAUACCAAUAGUUCCGUCGGCGCCAGAUCAAUAACCACCUUCCUCAAGCUGAACAUGGUCACCAAGAAUCGGCGCAUCGCCGUUUCGUACUUCACUCUCCUCUCGCUCAAGUCGAUCCGCAACCUGGUCUACAAGCGUGGCUUCGUCAAGCAACGACAAUGCUUUAUCACGAUCAUGGAUCAGAUCGAGUGCUGGACGCACUCAACAAGCUGGGCAAUAUUCCGAGAAAGUUCUACGGCUCAAGUGCAUUGUUCAGCAAGCUGGACGUUCCCAAGCACUGGUCGCGCGCAUCGAAAUUACUGCUUACGACCGGUUCAACCUGAUGCCCAAGGAAAUGCCCCACCCGCGGCAUGUACAGUUUGUGUGGAAAAGUUUUCUGGCUGCCGUAGAACAUCAACUUCUGUUGACGAUUUCACCCGAUCCCGCCGCUCCUGAUCAACCACGGCCCCGAUCUUGCCCGUUUUCUCAUCAAAUAAAAUCAGUGAUAAAAUUAUAAAAAAGAUUAUUUUGUAGAUGCAGUU